UUUCUUUUUUUUUUUUUUUUUUUUCUUUUUAUCUCAUCUGUAUUUACCUUUUUAAAGCAGAAUGUGAUUGGGCACUGUUAUUUUCACAUUCACAAGCCUUGCUGAGUUACAAGACCUAGGGGAACUUAGGGUUUUGUUCUCAGUACUUUGGAAAACAAGCCACUUGGGGAAUUCCUGUCAAGUUGUUUUAGCUUGUGUUUACUUCUAAGACUAGUACAUGCAGAAUUAACUACAGGGAAUGAAAAAAAUUUAAGAUGAAACUUAAGUCAUCUUAAUUUGGUCUACUAAAGGAAUCCAGCUCAACAGCUAAACACUUCAGACCACAUAGUUAACAGUAACAGUAGGUUACAUUACGUCUUACAACAAACGUUCUAUCAACCUCUUGAGUCAAACCUAUAGUAUCACAGUAUCACAUGUAGAAAUUUUUACCUUCCCCUAGUUUUCAUGCCACACAGAUGUUUUAAAUGUUAACAAAAAUAAACAAAAAUCAUGGAAAAUAUAUUAUCAGAAGGAAUGAAGGUAAGCAUCAAACACAUAGUUCUGGUGAAGCCUAGUCUACUUCUUCCAUGCGUGAUGUGUCAUCAUCUCCUUCCAGGGGUGGCAUUUCUUCAGUUACAGCAGCACUGGUAUCAUCCACAGUAGGAUCAUCCUCAUCAAUACCUAGACCAAGCUUGAUCAUCCUGUAGAUCCUGUUAGCAUGGGUCUGGGGAUCUUCCAGACUGAAGCCGGAAGACAGGAGUGCUGUUUCGUACAGCAAGAUGACCAGAUCUUUCACAGACUUGUCAUUCUUGUCAGCCUCUGCCUUUUGCCUUAAGGUUUCAAUAAUGGAGUGAUCAGGGUUUAUCUCCAGGUGUUUCUUUGCUGCCAUGUAACCCAUUGUUGAGUUGUCUCUGAGGGCUUGAGCUUUCAUGAUUCUCUCCAUGUUUGCUGUCCAGCCAUAUGUGCUUGUGACAAUACAGCAUGGGGAUGUCACCAAUCGGUUUGACACAACCACCUUUUCAACCUUUUUCUCUAAAAUAUCCUUCAUAAUUUUGCAGAGGUUCUCAAAUUUUGUCUUUUUCUCUUCCUGUUUCUUCUUUUCCUCUUCAUCUUCUGGAAGUUCCAGUCCUUCUUUGGUAACUGACACCAAGGUCUUGCCCUCAAAUUCCUUCAGCUGUUGCACACAAUACUCAUCAAUGGGCUCAAUCAUAUAGAUUACUUCUAAGCCAUGCUUUCGGAGACGUUCCACAAAGGCUGAGUUAGCAACCUGGUCCUUGGUCUCACCUGUGAUAAAAUAGAUGUGCUUCUGGUUUUCCUUCAUUCUGGUGCAGUAGUCCUUCAGAGAAACCAUCUCAUC
ensembl:lncRNA Hsp90aa1-ps17 heat shock protein 90 alpha family class A member 1, pseudogene 17